CAGUCGCCGCGGGAACACGGAGGGUGCAAGCGUUAAUCGGAAUUACUGGGCGUAAAGCGUGCGUAGGCGGUUUGUUAAGUCUGUUGUGAAAUCCCCGGGCUCAACUUGGGAAUGGCAAUGGAUACUGGCAAGCUAGAGUGUGUCAGAGGAUGGUGGAAUUCCCGGUGUAGCGGUGAAAUGCGUAGAGAUCGGGAGGAACAUCAGUGGCGAAGGCGGCCAUCUGGGACAACACUGACGCUGAGGCACGAAAGCGUGGGGAGCAAACAGGAUUAGAGACCCCAGUAGUCCCUGUCUCUUAUAC
rnacentral:rRNA from 1 species